rnacentral:rRNA from 1 species
ACUAUCGUUAACUGAAUACAUAGGUUAACGAGGCGAACCGGGGGAACUGAAACAUCUAAGUACCCCGAGGAAAAGAAAUCAACCGAGAUUCCCCCAGUAGCGGCGAGCGAACGGGGAGCAGCCCAGAGUCUGAAUCAGCUUGUGUGUUAGUGGAACGGUCUGGAAAGUCCGACGGUACAGGGUGAUAGUCCCGUACACCAAAAUGCACAGGUUGUGAACUCGAAGAGUAGGGCGGGACACGUGGUAUCCUGUCUGAAUAUGGGGGGACCAUCCUCCAAGGCUAAAUACUCCUGACUGACCGAUAGUGAACCAGUACCGUGAGGGAAAGGCGAAAAGAACCCCGGCGAGGGGAGUGAAAAAGAACCUGAAACCGUGUACGUACAAGCAGUGGGAGCACCUUCGGGUGUGACUGCGUACCUUUUGUAUAAUGGGUCAGCGACUUAUAUUCUGUAGCAAGGUUAACCGUAUAGGGGAGCCGCAGGGAAACCGAGUCUUAACUGGGCGUUAAGUUGCAGGGUAUAGACCCGAAACCCGGUGAUCUAGCCAUGGGCAGGUUGAAGGUUGGGUAACACUAACUGGAGGACCGAACCGACUAAUGUUGAAAAAUUAGCGGAUGACUUGUGGCUGGGGGUGAAAGGCCAAUCAAACCGGGAGAUAGCUGGUUCUCCCCGAAAGCUAUUUAGGUAGCGCCUCGUGAAUUCAUCUUCGGGGGUAGAGCACUGUUUCGGCUAGGGGGUCAUCCCGACUUACCAACCCGAUGCAAACUACGAAUACCGAAGAAUGUUAUCACGGGAGACACACGGCGGGUGCUAACGUCCGUCGUGAAGAGGGAAACAACCCAGACCGCCAGCUAAGGUCCCAAAGUCAUGGUUAAGUGGGAAACGAUGUGGGAAGGCACAGACAGCCAGGAUGUUGGCUUAGAAGCAGCCAUCAUUUAAAGAAAGCGUAAUAGCUCACUGGUCGAGUCGGCCUGCGCGGAAGAUGUAACGGGGCUAAACCAUGCACCGAAGCUGCGGCAGCGACACUAUGUGUUGUUGGGUAGGGGAGCGUUCUGUAAGCCUGCGAAGGUGACCUGUGAGGGUUGCUGGAGGUAUCAGAAGUGCGAAUGCUGACAUAAGUAACGAUAAAGCGGGUGAAAAGCCCGCUCGCCGGAAGACCAAGGGUUCCUGUCCAACGUUAAUCGGGGCAGGGUGAGUCGACCCCUAAGGCGAGGCCGAAAGGCGUAGUCGAUGGGAAACAGGUUAAUAUUCCUGUACUUGGUGUUACUGCGAAGGGGGGACGGAGAAGGCUAUGUUAGCCGGGCGACGGUUGUCCCGGUUUAAGCAUGUAGGCUGGUUGUCCAGGCAAAUCCGGAUAAUCAAGGCUGAGGUGUGAUGACGAGGCACUACGGUGCUGAAGUAACAAAUGCCCUGCUUCCAGGAAAAGCCUCUAAGCAUCAGGUAACAUUAAAUCGUACCCCAAACCGACACAGGUGGUCAGGUAGAGAAUACCAAGGCGCUUGAGAGAACUCGGGUGAAGGAACUAGGCAAAAUGGUGCCGUAACUUCGGGAGAAGGCACGCUGGUGUGUAGGUGAAGCCCCUGCGGGUGGAGCUGAGACCAGUCGAAGAUACCAGCUGGCUGCAACUGUUUAUUAAAAACACAGCACUGUGCAAACACGAAAGUGGACGUAUACGGUGUGACGCCUGCCCGGUGCCGGAAGGUUAAUUGAUGGGGUUAUCCGUAAGGAGAAGCUCUUGAUCGAAGCCCCGGUAAACGGCGGCCGUAACUAUAACGGUCCUAAGGUAGCGAAAUUCCUUGUCGGGUAAGUUCCGACCUGCACGAAUGGCGUAAUGAUGGCCAGGCUGUCUCCACCCGAGACUCAGUGAAAUUGAACUCGCUGUGAAGAUGCAGUGUACCCGCGGCAAGACGGAAAGACCCCGUGAACCUUUACUAUAGCUUGACACUGAACAUUGAGCCUUGAUGUGUAGGAUAGGUGGGAGGCUUUGAAGCGUGGACGCCAGUCUGCGUGGAGCCAACCUUGAAAUACCACCCUUUAAUGUUUGAUGUUCUAACGUUGGCCCCUGACCGGGGUUGCGGACAGUGUCUGGUGGGUAGUUUGACUGGGGCGGUCUCCUCCCAAAGCGUAACGGAGGAGCACGAAGGUUAGCUAAUCCUGGUCGGACAUCAGGAGGUUAGUGCAAUGGCAUAAGCUAGCUUGACUGCGAGCGUGACGGCGCGAGCAGGUGCGAAAGCAGGUCAUAGUGAUCCGGUGGUUCUGAAUGGAAGGGCCAUCGCUCAACGGAUAAAAGGUACUCCGGGGAUAACAGGCUGAUACCGCCCAAGAGUUCAUAUCGACGGCGGUGUUUGGCACCUCGAUGUCGGCUCAUCACAUCCUGGGGCUGAAGUAGGUCCCAAGGGUAUGGCUGUUCGCCAUUUAAAGUGGUACGCGAGCUGGGUUUAGAACGUCGUGAGACAGUUCGGUCCCUAUCUGCCGUGGGCGCUGGAGAAUUGAGGGGGGCUGCUCCUAGUACGAGAGGACCGGAGUGGACGCAUCACUGGUGUUCGGGUUGUCAUGCCAAUGGCACUGCCCGGUAGCUAAAUGCGGAAGAGAUAAGUGCUGAAAGCAUCUAAGCACGAAACUUGCCCCGAGAUGAGUUCU